GCGUUCAUAGUGUAACGGUAGCACACUCGGCGCGCAUUCGAGAGGUCUAGGUUCGAAUCCCCGUGAGGGCA
rnacentral:tRNA from 1 species